CCUCAUAUAUAUUAGAUUGUAUAAGAUGGGAGAUGGACAACUCCAACCAUUCCAAACCAGUUCAAGGGGCCAUGGAAACAAAAGGUAUACCAUGAACUAUCUCAUGGCAAUAUGACUAGAAUAUCAAGAACCUGAACAAGAAGGGCAAAGUGGAAGGCACCUCUGGUCAACAAACCAGGUAACCUAAGCUUACGCACUGCUAUACUUUCUUUCGAACUUAUUCGGUGAAAAUUCAAAGCUUAUGCAGUUUUAUCCCCUAUUGUUGCAGAGUACAAGGAUUAAUAUUGCAUCUAUGCUUUUGACAGCUUGAAGUACAUAAGCGCUGAGCUGUGGCAGGUUAUUGCUAUAAAGUUCAGUGACUUGCACAUCGCUGCAUUAUGUUCUUUUUACUUCCAGAGCUACAGUGCUCUCAUACUAUCAUU